GAAGAUGAAGAUGGAGCCUCAUGGUGGCUGCCCCCAGCACUGCAGCUGCGUGAACGGACAUUCCCUCCAGCCUCUGGGAGAAGGUGCCUGGUACCUCUCGGAGCCCCAUGAAGACUGCCAGCUGUCCGGACACCUCAAGCUGGGCUGGGAUAUUCGGCAGGUGGCAGGAAAGGCCUCUGAGCUGUGUUUGCCCUGGCUGGGGCCCAGGCCUAGCAUCAACAAACAGGCAGCUCCUCCCCCAGCCGGCCCACAACUGGCCUGGCCCAGGGACCCCACACCAUGCCGCCCUGGGGCCUCUCACAGCAGCCCAGCCCAGCUGGCCCCUGCUCCCUCCAGACUGGAUUGAGGACCCCAACACCCACAUGCCGGUGACCUUGAAGCCAGACCUGGCUCCUCAGGAACUGCCAAUAGGAGCACCCAGUCCUUGGCAGAUGGCUUCUGUGAGCACCCAGGAUGUGUGGAGGUUGGGGGGGUGGGGCAGAACUGAGACCCUGGUCAGCACCUCUCCUAUUUGACUCUGUCCCACGGGCAGCCCUAAAGCCCCUCAGAGGGUGAGUUUUAGGGUCUCUCAGGACCAAAGUAAGCUGUGAUCUGGGGAUUACAUCAGCCCCAGAUUAAGAGGGACAGCCAGUCCCUUCCUGUUUUGCAGCCCUCAGCAGGGAGGCAGUUUAGAUGGUUUGAGGUUUUCAAGGAUUGCCACCAUCCCAAUGCCUUUCUCUUUAUUCCACCCAGGCCCCUGGCCUUCCCAGCCAAAGCUGAGUCCUCUGUCCUUGAUUCACAGCUUCCUUCAGGCCAGGGGAAAAGACAGCUAUUUUCUUGUGACACAGAGGGAAACUGAGGUACGCUAGGGCUUGGCUGUGGUGGUGCUGUGAGUCAGUAGGAAGAGAAUCCUGGAGUCCUGACUCCCAACCCAGGGCAGGGAAGAGGUGAGGCCUGUCUUCUGAGGGCAUUCUCCCCAAUACCAGGGAGGGGGACGGACUUGACACAGAGACAUCCAGCUUGGCUAGGAACAGCAGAGGCCAUGGAUUAAUCGGCUCAGAGCCAGUGGCUGAGAAGCGAGAGACAGCUGUUCGGUGAACAGUACCCCCUCCAGCUCACUCCCCAGAUUAGGGCCUUCCCCAGUUUACUGCUGGUUACGCCUGGGGUGGGGGGCGUGAGCCUUAACACCCACCAUGCACCUCUGAGCACUAAGGCUUUGGCUAAGAAGCAGGCAAGGAUGCGAUUAGGAGCCCUCAGCCAGGAACACCAGGACCACCCUGAAACCCUUUCCGCCAAGGCACCAAGUCCCAGACCACAGUUCCCAUGGGCAGACACAGCUGUCUCCUACUCUUCAGAAAUAAGGAAGUGGGUGGGAGCAUGGCCAGGGAGACACAGGCAAGGAUCAACAGGAGCCAAGCCUGGUUCCACCCCCGUCCUCACUCUACCCUC
ensembl:lncRNA